CUCCUACCGAUUGAAUGAUC
rnacentral:siRNA from 1 species